UUAUCACACUUAUUAUAAGGUUGUUCUAACAAGUCUGAUACAGGCAUGAUAUAACAAGAAUGUUACAAGGUUGACAAUACAAGGUUGUAACAAUAUUGUUAUAUAUAUCAUGACUGUAUCGGACUUGUUGGAACAACCUUGCAACAAGUCUGGUAA